ensembl:lncRNA
GUUCUUUCCGAUCAUUUUGAGACAAAGGUGCAGCAGAAUCACCCAUGGAACUUCCUGACUAAGGAUGCUCACUCUGCCUUUGAAAACUGUGAUUUGGCAGUUGCUGGCUCUUGAACUACCUCUGUCAUGAGAUUGACCAAGAUGGAGGACUUGGGCUCCUGAUUUUGACCGAGAGACCUCCCAGCUGAGAGUUCCCAAGGAUGUGUUAGAUGUAAAUGUGGGAACACAUGAGCCAAACUGCAUUGCGUGUUUCUAUCUUCCACUGUCUAUUAUGUGAGCUUGCUGGUUUUAACAACCUCUGAGUCAGUCUAGUGAAGAAAACUAUUAGCCAAGGUUAAUUAUCAUCACUGAAAUACGUACUAUGAGAAUUUGACCUUUGGAUCCAUUUACCCGUCUGAAAAAUAACAGUAAUAGGCACUUUGGUACUAUCUAUUU